ensembl:snoRNA SNORA72 Small nucleolar RNA SNORA72
CUAUAUAUAUUAGUAAGGCGAAAACAUAGUAAGACUAUGCAUGUGUUCCAAGAUAUAGUUCUUUCCUUAGGUCUGGUUGUAUAAAUGCCGGUAAUAAUU